ACCACUUUGUGAAAUCUUUAUUUUUCUGCAUAUUAAUUAUUAAUCAUCUUCACAUAAUAUAUAUUGUACUAGUUAUUAAAUUAGAAAUCCAAGAAUAAUUAAAUAGAGGUGGAAGAAUCAACAAUUUUCACCUCAUAAGCAAUUGCUCGGAAGUAUAUCAAUGUUGGACUCAUUUUGAAGCUCGUAUUUUAAAACAACGUAUUAUAAUUUUUAUUUCAUCAAAAUAUUAUUUUACAAGGGGUAAAUUCUUGAUAAUAGCUAUCUACCCUAAAAGAAAGAAAGAAGAAAAAAGGAAAAAAAAAAUGCAUUUGCAUAUUCGUCUGAAUUCCAUUCUUCCUUUUUUUUUUUUUUUUACUGCGCACGCUUCUUUUUUUUAAUGCACGCUUCUUCUUUUUAUUUUUUAUGCAUUCCACUCAUGCUCCUCUACCCUACCUCUCUUUCUUUUUUUCCUUUUCAUCAUGACCACCACUACCGUUUGCCUCCCCAACGUCUCUCUUUCUACUCCUCACCCGCUCCUCUCUCUCCUCAAAUUUCCCCGACGUUUCUACCUUCUUUGGGGGAGGGAGUGGGAUGAGCAAAAAAAAAAACCUAACAAAACAAGAUCGGGCAGUGGCGAAAGAAAAGAGAAAAAAACAGACCGAAAAAUCCCCCCUCAAAACAAAUUGAACACGAUCUGAAAUUCCCAAAAAUCCCCCUACAAACACAGGUUUUAAUCGCCUUCAAUUUCCCCAGAAAAAGAACAGCCUUCAUUUUUUUUUUUUUUUUUUUGGGAAACAUUUCUUGAAAUUCAACCGAAAGGAGGGAUUGAACACUGAUUGGGGAGAUUAUUGUAUACGGAGUAUUUUGUCACCGAGCCUCAAGUUUCUUUUAUCCUGGUCCUGAUUUUGUUUAAAAUCAGAAAAAAAAAAAAAACACCUUUUGUUGAAAACAUAAGAUUUGUGACAAAAAAUUAAGUUUUCACAAUUCAAUUAACUUUCGUCGCUGCUCGGCAAAAGAACUUUAAUUACAACAAAGACAUUUUAACUUUCGAUUCGAGCUUUGAAUCUGUCCAUACGAGAGGGUAGAUUCGAGGCUUCGACGCUCAGUUCACUGCACACACAAAAGGUAUGGAUUUGCAUUGGAGUACAAUGAAUGACGAAGAUCAAUGACAUCACAAAAACGGGGCUGAGAUUUAGACAUAGGAAAUUGUAUUCACUUCAUUUAGAUUAGGAAACACUUUAUGUUGUAUUCAUUUGACAUGUAAUAAACGUUACAUUACUUUUGUA